AGCAACAGAUGGUAUUGGAGGGCUAUACGUAUAUCUUGGUUUCCCGGUUGAUGACUGGGCCAGGUGUUGUUGUACUGCUGAGAUAAUCACUGGUUGUUUUUUGGCAUUUUCAUUUUCGGGAUCUGCAGCAAGGCUUGCGACACGGAUACUGGACGAAGUUGAGUUUUGCGGUCCUGAUGAUUUGGUUUUCUUUGAUGUUCCAGGAAGCAAUAAGGAUGAUGCCGAAAUGAUGCUGGAUGAGGAUGUUGGUGGUCGGACGAGCUUUACUGGAGUGUUCACGGAAGCAUUGAUGAUGAUGCCGAGAGGAUGCGAGAUGAUGAUGCUGAUGUUGACAACUGUACCAGUUUUGCUGGGGCAUUAACGUUGAGGACUGGUCGGCAAAUUUGUUCAGAUUUGAUAAUUACUGGUCUAUUUGCCUGUUUUGCACUUUCAGGAGCUAAUGACGGUGAUGCCGAAAGGACGCGGGGCGAGGAUGCUGAUGAUUGCACGAGCUUCGCUGGGGCAUUCACGUGAAGGACUGGUCGGCAAAUUCGUUCAGAUUUAAUAAUCACUGGUCUCUUUGCCUGUUUCGCAGUGCAAGGAGCUGAUGAUGGUGAUGCCGAAAGGACGCGGGGCGAGGAUGCGAUGGCUGACGAUUGAACCAGGUUCACAGGGGCAUUCACAUGCCAGGAGCCGAUAAUGGAGAUGCCGAAAGGACGCAGGAUGAUUUUUUUGACCAUUGCACGAGCUUCACAGGGGCAUUCACGGAAGGAAUAAUGGUGAUGUAGAUAUGGAUGUCUUUAAUGGUACGAGGGUCGCUGGUACUACCGAUGCCUGCGCUUUUACGCUGAGAUCUGAAAAUGAUGCCAUCGGUGCCGUUAUCGUUUUAUACACGUUGUUUGAAGCCAUUUCGCUAAACGUAUCCUAAAUGAACAUUUUGUUUAUUUAGUGAACCAUUUGAUUUCAAUUUAUCCUAAUUAAUAGGUACCUUUUUUUGUUUUGAAGAAAAUCCGAGAGAAAUAAUAAAUAGAA